UGGGUUCUGCCUAUUAACUCUCUU
rnacentral:siRNA from 1 species